UGGCAGCAGCCGCGGAAAUACGAGGGGUCCUAGCGUUGUUCGGAAUUAUUGGGCGUAAAGCGGGUGCAGGUGGUUUUAUAAGUCAGAAGUGAAAGCCCCGGGCUCAACCCGGGAAGGGCUUUUGAUACUGUAAAACUUGAGUGUAGGAGAGGAUAGUAGAAUUCCUGGUGUAGUGGUGAAAUACGUAGAUAUCAGGAGGAAUACCGGUGAGGAAGCUGGCUGUCUGGUCUAACACUGACACUCAUACCCGAAUGCGUGGGGAGCAAACAGGAUUAGAUA
rnacentral:rRNA from 1 species